ACCAACGGCACGCGGCCUGGAUGUGGCGCUUACUGGCGCCGCUUCUCAUCCAGCGCGUAUCGGACAACCGCACUUUGCUGCUACUGCAGUUUCUCCUUAUCUUCUGCUAGACAUAUCUAUUGGAUAAAAACGAGAAAAAAUAGAGGUGUUGACAAGGUGAAGCUUUAGCCGCGAGCUCGGCUGUAGCCUCGAUCACGGUGGGGCUCGAACCCACAUGGAAAUAGGUCACCGGGGCCGAAUCUAAAAUAUAGACACCCUAUCCAUGUCCAUCGCGCCAUCCACCGCCACCAGUUCCACGACCACCGCCGCCGCACUGGCUUCACCUCUGGCCUAACCGCACCUCUGCUCCUUGCCAUACACAGAUUCGCAAGAAAUUUGCCUCAGGCACCCGCCAGUAAUCGCAGCUCUUGAAGGUACUCAACUCCGGCAGUAGCAGCAGCAGCAGGACCAUCAUGUUGAUUGCAGGACCAGGUUCAUGCGGACAUACAGUGAGAAACAAGUGGGGAGGGCGUGUGUGUGUGUGGACAAGUCAGCGUGUGAUGUGUCUAUUACCGGCUCAUAGCAAAUCAAGCGCGCAAUAUACCUCGACGGUACGACACAGUGCUGCUGCUGCUGUUGCUGUGCCGCCAGCCUCCGGCCAAAGCCCACUGUGCAGUUAUCACUAAUCCUCGUACCGUACCGCGACGUGAAACACACAAUAGGAUGAUGCUCCACAAACUACGGCACACGGAAGAGUCACGACACCACAACCGAUAGCAACCGACCAGUUAAUCGCCCGUACAGCCGAAACAGAUUGGUAAUCUGCUGGACACAUCCCUCAACUCAAAUCAACGCACAUACUGACACUCGUAAUAGUGAAGUGCUCAGCCCCCCUCAGCACCACGACGGGGUGCCGCCGCCGCCACAGCAGCACCAACACGAGCCUCGGGAAGAAGACAACGGAGCCAGGCGCCUCUGCCACCUAGGGAAGAACGAUAAAGGGAAAACACAAGCGCGUCAGAGAACGUCCCAUUUCCUAGAAACAGCGCACUUACCUCCUUUACCCGUCCGCGAGCCCAUAACCUGAGCGGGUAGAAACCCACCGUACGAGCAUCAGGCGAGCAUGCGGUGGUCGGGCCCUGCAUUGCAAAGUCCCGCUUCGCGCAAAUAGCGACACGAACAACGGACGCGGAGGUGGGGCUGGCGAGUGGUGCGCUCUUGGCAGCUCCACCUAAGGGACUACUAAAAACGGACACCGGCGAGGCCUUGGCGCUUCUCAACCGUUCCUAUCCUUCUCUAUCUCACCUCCUAUGCACCACCCGCCCUCCUGCGGAAAAACUGCUCCCUGGUGACAGACAGACAGUGCACUCCCGCGCAGGGAAGCGAGAGAGAACUCAGGCCACUACCAGGGAGACCACUUCCGGAAUCCUG
rnacentral:lncRNA from 1 species